rnacentral:rRNA from 1 species
GUUGUUGGAGAAGAACGUGCGUGAGAGUAACUGUUCACGCAGUGACGGUAUCCAACCAGAAAGUCACGGCUAACUACGUGCCAGCAGCCGCGGUAAUACGUAGGUGGCAAGCGUUAUCCGGAUUUAUUGGGCGUAAAGCGAGCGCAGGCGGUUGCUUMGGUCUGAUGUGUAAACUUCGGCUUAACCGAAGAAGUGCAUCGGAAACCGGGCGACUUGAGUGCAGAAGAGGACAGUGGAACUCCAUGUGUAGCGGUGGAAUGCGUAGAUAUAUGGAAGAACACCAGUGGCGAAAGGCGGCUGUCUGGUCUGCAACUGACGCUGAGGCUCGAAAGCAUGGGUAGCGAACAGGAUUAGAUACCCUGGUAGUCCAUGCCGUAAACGAUGAGUGCUAGGUGUUGGAGGGUUUCCGCCCUUCAGUGCCGGAGUAACGCAUUAAGCACUCCGCCUGGGGAGUACGACCGCAAGGUUGAAACUCAAAGGAAUUGACGGGGGCCCGCACAAGCGGUGGAGCAUG